rnacentral:rRNA from 1 species
UAAGGAAUAUUGGGCAAUGGACGCAAGUCUGACCCAGCCAUGCCGCGUGAAGGAUGAAGGCCCUCUGGGUUGUAAACUUCUUCUAUACGGGAAAAAACCACCGGUCGUGUAUCGGUGCUGAUGGUACUGUACGAAUAAGCAUCGGCUAACUCCGUGCCAGCAGCCGCCGUAAUACGGAGGAUGCAAGCGUGAUCCGGACUCAUUGGGUUUAAAGGGUGCGCAGGCGGAUUGCUAAGUCAGUGGUGAAAUCUCCCGGCUUAACCGGGGAACUGCCAUUGAUACUGUCAUACUUGAGUACAGUUGAAGUGGGCGGAAUGUGUGAUGUAGCGGUGAAAUGCUUAGAUAUGACACAGAACACCGAUAGCGAAGGCAGCUCACUAAGCAGUAACUGACGCUCAUGCGCGAAAGCGUGGGGAUCAAACA